UUAGCGGACCGGGCCCCUCUGGCGGAGCAUUAUGCCCCGUGAUGUCGGCCGCAUCG
rnacentral:ncRNA from 1 species